GCAAUUCAUUCUAAAUUAGGGUGUCAGAAGUGAAACUAAAAAGUUUGGUGGCUGAACUGUUGUCUAGUGAAACUUAUCCAUAAACUCAAGAUAAUAAUUGAAUGUAAUUGGUACAUAUAAGACAUUAUUUUGAGGUAGGAAUUGAAUACGAAAAAUGAAUGGAUAUGUUCGAACUGAUUUUGGAAACAACAGGAUGAAAGCCAACCUACUAAGAUGUAGAUUGGGACAUCAUUGUUCUUUGGUGAUGUUUUUUGCAAACAACUGGUUUUUACAUACCCACAACAAAUGAAAUUAGGAAUUAUUAUUAUUACUAUUAUUAUUAUAAAUAUGUUGGAACUGACAAUGGAAAAAAAGGAGCAAAGAAGUUUUUUGCGAAUUCAGAAGUUUUUGGUUAAAGAAAUAUUGAACUGGACUUCAGGUGUUAGUCUUGACUGAGUUUGCACACUAUCGAUAUAUGGUAAAUUGAAAUUGAAAAUCUUCUUUCACUUUAUAUCGUUAUAAUCUUUCAUAAUCACUGUAAUCUAUAAGAUUUCACAUUAUUUUACUCUUCGUACAUAGAGGAAAACAAAUUACCGAAUGUCCUACACUGUCAACAGGAACGAAGAAAUGGAAGCAAUGAGGAAAUGAUUGAAAUAAAAUAUUUUCAAUCAUUUAGGAGAUUUUGCAUCCAAACUGGUUUUCGAAUCCCAUCAACAAAUCAAAUUAAGGAUAUGUUUAUUUGACAAUGGAAAAAAGGGCAAAGAACGUUUUUUGUAAUUCAGAAGUUUUUGGUGAGUAGGGAAAUAUCUAUGUUUUUCAUCUUUGAAAUAUCAAAGUGGAUUUCAUUCAGACGCAGCCUUUAGUCUUUACUAAAUUUGUGCACUCUGUGUCAACAUAUGAUAAAUUAAAAUUGAAAAUUGUCAUUGAAUUCAUAUCGUUAAUGUCUGUAUUCUAUGGGAUUUACAUUAUUCAUCUAUUCGUAAAUAGCAAAAAACGAAUUACUGAGUGUGCUUUAUUAUUUUUCAUUAAUUGUGAGAUAAAUUAAUAUUGUCAUAAAAUGACAAACGGUUAAGUUACUCUACAUUUGUUGUUGUUUGAAAAAUAGAUAUAAACGAGUUUCACGUAUUAAUUAGGAGUACAUGUAUCAUUUUUGAAGGUGACUACGUUGAAGGAUAACAUCGAAUUUUCUGGAUAUCUGUUUUCACUGACCAGAUCUCGGACUUAUUCAUUGAAGUGAAACUUUACAUUUCAAUCUUUAAGUCCCUGAGUUGGCGCACAGAUGGCACCUCGUUACUACCAAGCUUCGAAACCUGCUUGUCAAAAUUUCGUUUAGUUUAGUCUGGAUCAAGAUAUUGAAGAUUAAAGUGAUACACUAUUUCUUUGAGAA